GUCCACGCUGUAAACGAUGAACACUAGGUGUGGGUGGAGUCAAUCUGUCCGUGCCAAAGCCAACGCGUUAAGUGUUCCGCCUGGGAAGUACGGCCGCAAGGCUAAAACUCAAAGGAAUUGACGGGGGCCCCGCACAAGCAGCGGAGCGUGUGGUUUAAUUCGAUGCGACACGAAGAACCUUACCUGGGUUUGACAUGCACGUAGUAGUGAAGCGAAAGCGGAACGACCCGUCAGGGAGCGUGCACAGGUGCUGCAUGGCUGUCGU
rnacentral:rRNA from 1 species